UUAAUACUCCCUCUGUCCGGAAAUACUUGUCCUAGAAAUGGAUGUAUGGAUGUAUCUAGACUUAUUUUAGUUAUAGAUACAUACAAUUUAUCCAUUCUUAGAACAAAAAUUUCCCGCCAGCUGGAGAGGGAGUACAUA
rnacentral:pre_miRNA from 1 species